UAUGUACUCCCUCCGUUCCAAAAUAGAUGACUCAAUUUUGUACUAACUUUAAAGUUAGUACGUUAGUACAAAGUUGAGUCAUCUAUUUUGGAACGGAGGGAGUAACUU
rfam:Triticum urartu cultivar G1812 contig25547, whole genome shotgun sequence.